AGGCUGCCCAAGCUCUCUUGUACGCCACAUUUCUGCACAGUGUGCUCAUACUACUUCUGCAGUUGGAUUACAGAAGGUUCCCUGCUGGCUCGUGUGCUUGGACUCUUGGUCCUUAGCUGGUGGCCUUGCUUUGGCUGGAUGUGGACCAUAUAGGAGCACACCCAGUCAUCAGGAACUAUGCAUUCAGUGGUUUUCCUUGAGAACGGCUAUCCGUAGUCUCAGACUGAAACAUGGAGAAUGGACGAGGACCCUCCUCCUGAACAUCCGGCUGACUUUUGCCAACCCAUUCCCAGCCAGGAUCCUUCCUGUCUUCUGAAGAGUGAGGGAGGGUCAUUCCCCGGCUGUGCAUGCUGGACCAAGAACCUGGAGUGUGGAAGUCCCAAAAUUAGCCCUCAGCCAUGACCUUGCCCGCAUGGCCAGGCUGUGGUGUGGACCUCUGGAGUGGACUUCCCUGCUUCCCCCAUCCGGGCUGCUAGAGAGAUACGGGAGCUUCAGACCCAUGUGAUAGCGAGGGAAGUAGCCGCUGCGGCCAUAUGGCUUCCAGGGAAGACUGUGCUCCCCUCCUCAGGGAAGACUGUGCUCCCCUCCUCAGGGAAGGCUGUGUUCCCCUCCUCAGGGAAGACUGUGCUCCCCUCCUCAGGGAAGACUGUAUUCCCCUCCUCAGGGAAGACUGUGCUCCCCUCCUCAGGGAAAACUGUGUUCCCCUCCUCAGGGAAGACUGUGCUCCCCUCCUCAGGGAAGACUGUGCUCCACUCCUCAGAGAAGACUGUGCUCCACUCCUCAGGGAAGACUGUGCUUCACUCCUCAGGGAAGACUGUGCUCCACUCCUCAGAGAAGACUGUGCUCCACUCCUCAGAGAAGACUAUGCUCCACUCCUCAGAGAAGACUGUGCUCCACUCCUCAGAGAAGACUGUGCUCCACUCCUCAGGGAAGUGCUCAUGAGAAUCCCACAGACACUGGAAGGGCUGGGGCAGUUCGAAGGUCAGAGGCUCAUUCAGCGUGUGAACAGAGUGAAGUGUACGACUAUAAAUUUUAGGAAAAUGUAUCAUUAAGUAAAUUGACCUUUUGUCA